UGGCACAGUGGUUAAAGCAUUUGACUACUAUCCAAAAGAUCGGUGGUUCAAAUCCACC
rnacentral:tRNA from 1 species